rnacentral:rRNA from 2 species
CAACUUUUAACAACGGAUCUCUUGGUUCUCGCAUCGAUGAAGAACGUAGCAAAGUGCGAUAACUAGUGUGAAUUGCAUAUUCAGUGAAUCAUCGAGUCUUUGAACGCAUCUUGCGCUCAAUGGUAUUCCAUUGAGCACGCCUGUUUCAGUAUCAACAA